rnacentral:piRNA from 1 species
AUCGGUGCAGAUAAACUGUGAGA